CGUCUAUAUACGUAUAGCAUAUCAAUAAGCGGAGGAAAAGAAACUAACAAGGAUUCCCCUAGUAACGGCGAGUGAAGCGGGAAGAGCUCAAAUUUGAAAUCUUAAAGGGUUUCCCUUUACGAAUUGUAGUUUAAAGAAGUGUUUUCUGUUGGAGUUUCGGUAAAAGUUCUUUGGAAUAGGACAUCAUAGAGGGUGAGAAUCCCGUAUUUGACCGUUACUUUCCAGCUGUGUGAUACACUUUCAAAGAGUCGGAUUGUUUGGGAAUGCAGUCCAAAAUGGGUGGUAAAUUUCAUCUAAAGCUAAAUAUUGGCGAGAGACCGAUAGCGAACAAGUACCGUGAGGGAAAGAUGAAAAGAACUUUGAAAAGAGAGUUAAACAGUACGUGAAAUUGUCAAAAGGGAAGCGUUUGACACCAGUGUUGUUUAGUUGAAAAUCAAUUCAAUAAUUUUUGAUUUUAAGUAGUAUUGACUUCAUCAGCUUGCUGCUUUCUUUUCAGGAAUUAUUGAAUGCACUUUUCAGUUAACAAGUCAACAUCAAUUUCUUUUGUUGUAAAAGGGUAAGAGGAAGGUGGCUUACGUUUCGGCGUAAGUGUUUAUAGCCUUUUACCUCUGCAAUCGGAGAGAUUGAGGCCAGCAGCGUAGACUCCUUCUGGGGUUAGAUACACUUGUGCUAAGCUAUAGCCUUGUAUAGACAACUUGUUGACUAUGCUCAGUCAUGUAGCUUACUCGCUUGUGCUAUUUUACCUACGCUUAGGAUGUUGAUAUGCAUGACUGAUAU
rnacentral:rRNA from 1 species